rnacentral:rRNA from 1 species
CUCCAGUUCGGAUCGGAGUCUGCAACCCGACUCCGUGAAGCUGGAUUCGCUAGUAAUCGCGCAUCAGCCAUGGCGCGGUGAAUACGUUCCCGGGCCUUGUACACACCGCCCGUCAAGCCAUGGGAGCCGGGAGUGCCUGAAGUGCGUGACCGUAAAAGGAGCGCCCUAGGGCAAGACCGAUGACUGGGGCUAAGUCGUAACAAGGUAUC